rnacentral:rRNA from 1 species
AGGAUUUGAUCCUGGUCCAGGAUGAACGCUAGCGACGUGCUUUAGGCAUGCAAGUAGAACGGGGGGUGCCAUACGGUACCCCCAGUUGCAGACGGGUGAGUAAUACAUAGGAAUCUACCUUUUAGUGGGGAAUAGCUGGCCGAAAGGCCAAUUAAUACCGCAUAAGUCCCGCCUUUGGCGGGAGAAAGGGCGUAACUGCCCGCUGAAAGAUGAGCCUAUGUCCUAUCAGCUAGUUGGUGGGGUAAAGGCCUACCAAGGCGAUGACGGGUAGCUGGACUGAGAG